CUUUCCGAUCACAGUCAACUAAAAUACUUCAAAUAAUAAUACAGAUUCUAAAUUCUUACGAUGUGUGAAAGCUUACCGAAAAUAGAUCCAAGAGGAGUUACUUGGUGUGUGGCUGUUACUACUCUAGUUUAUGGAUUUAUUUCAACAAUAUUUUUUAUGCUUUUCUUUGUGGUUUUUUUGGGUAAAUUGGAGUGGAAUAAAAAUCAUGACGCAACCAAUAUCGUACACAUAUUUAUUUUUAUAUUAUAUCUUAUAAUUCAAAUAACUGGUAUUCUAUCCGGCGGUUUCUUGAUCUAUGGGUUGAUAACGAGACUCCCUCGGAUGCUUUUUAUUGGCAGAGUUUUGGGAUUUGUAUUUGCAUUUUCAAAUUUCUAUUCCCUUUACCUAAUUAUUUACUCAAUAUUAUCAAAUUAUACUCUAAGAUAUAUAAAGUUUCUUAAUUUUAAUGAGCACCAAAAGUGAUUUUAAAACAAAGAGAGUUAUAACUUUCAUCAGGAUCUUGUAAAAAGAUAUGAAUAAAAGGACUUCAUCACGUUACCAUCUCUAGCUCACAUGCCAAUUGGUGUAGUUGAGUGUGUGUGGGGGCCUUUUGCAAUUUUCCAGCUAAAUGGCAUACAUUAAUUAACGGUUUUGUGCGACAGACGACUCGGGUCCAGGUUCUGGUUCUGGUUCAGAUUCGGAUUCAGCUUCAGGUCCAGACCCCGGGCUUCACAUUCAUUUUGACCCUCACGCUCUUGGCUCACGAAAAAGAUUAAUGGUGCGUUAUUAAUGUGUAAUGACAAAUGUUAGUGCCCCCCCUCCCACUACCACUGCCCCUUCGGUAUGCCACGCCCUCUUGCCCAUCAUGGCAACCGCCGCUGUGUAUGUGAGAUCUCACUUUGGCGCUAAAUGGAUUUACGUAGCUCGGCCAUGGUGUCCAUCCAUUUGCCUGAAAAUGAUUGAAAUAAAUAUUUAAUUAAGGCGCCAGAGUGCAGCGGCAGUCGAAACAAAGAAAAACAGCAACUUUGCUCUAAAUUUUCAUAAAAAAUUCAAUGCCACGUUCCGACAACAGCCGACAACGAUAUGCAAUAAAGUGCGGGCGGCAAAAUGUGUCACCGUGUUAUAAAUAAAACCAAAGGAUGGGUAACAGGACGAAAAGAUGCCCUCAAAAUAAUUAAACUUAAAAAGUCAUUUAUCCUUUCCAGGAUCAUGUAAAUGCCAGUGUACUCCGCCAUCCAAAAGAAACCACAUCAACAUCAGCGUCAAAGUGACAGGACCAGAAGCUGGCAAACACACACGAAAAACUCUGACCAGAUCGUUUCAAGGGCCCGAUAGAUAUGGCCCAGAAAUCGUAGGUAUUGGAGUGGGUAUAGGGGCAGUCGGGCUUACCGGCUAAAUGUUGUUGUGGCAAACAAGUAAAUAAAUGACAAACUAAAGCCAAAUUAAGUAAAUAAAAUUGUUGCCGCUGUCAGGGGCAUAAAGUGACGCCUGACACGGACAUGGACACGAACACGAGCACAAACUUCCAGGCAGGACAUGGGACAUGGUAGCUGACAGGACACCGGUCCUGUAUCUCAGAGUCAGGACUACAGGACUUCAGUUGAAGCGCCCUCUGUUGUCAGAGUCAUGUGACAGUCCUGAAAAUGUCAACAAGUUGAAUGCAACAACAUGGCCAACUGAAAUGAGACGAGGCCCAAAGUGAGGUCAAAGAUGAGGUAAAGGCCAUAGGUGCGGGCCGACUUUAAUGCGGCAGUAUACCAAAAUUGAAAAAGGUUUGAUAACCCCGGAGGAUUUUUUAGCCCAGCCUAGACGAGCCAAAGAGAGCUGCUCGCGUCGAGGACGAGGUCCUUCCUCGGUCGCAUUGGGCAGACAAACGCUGACAUGUGUCAAAACGAAAAGUGUACAAUUUAUCAAAGGCAACAAUAACGAAAAUAGAAGCAAGACCCGCCAUUGAGCAGAUCCGGAGUGGAGACAAUGAAGCAACCAAAGAAUAAAGGAACUUUUCGACUUUUAAAUACCAUCUACUGG
rnacentral:sRNA from 1 species